rnacentral:rRNA from 1 species
AUUGAACGCUGGCGGCAUGCCUAACACAUGCAAGUCGAACGGCAGCACGGGAGCUUGCUCCUGGUGGCGAGUGGCGGACGGGUGAGUAAUGCAUAGGAAUCUGCCCAGUAGCGGGGGACAACUUGGGGAAACUCAAGCUAAUACCGCAUGCGCCCUACGGGGGAAAGCGGGGGACCUUCGGGCCUCGCACUAUUGGAUGAGCCUAUGUCAGAUUAGCUUGUUGGUGGGGUAACGGCCUACCAAGGCGACGAUCUGUAGCUGGUCUGAGAGGACGAUCAGCCACACUGGGACUGAGACACGGCCCAGACUCCUACGGGAGGCAGCAGUGGGGAAUAUUGCACAAUGGGCGAAAGCCUGAUGCAGCCAUGCCGCGUGUGUGAAGAAGGCCCUAGGGUUGUAAAGCUCUUUUACCAGGGAUGAUAAUGACAGUACCUGGAGAAUAAGCUCCGGCUAACUCCCGUGCCAGCAGCCGCGGU